AGAGUUUGAUCAUGGCUCAGGAUGAACGCUGGCGGCGUGCCUAAUACAUGCAAGUCGAACGAGGUAUUUUUGUAGCAAUACGAGAGUAUCCUAGUGGCGAACGGGUGAGUAACGCGUUGGUGACCUACCCCAAAGUGUGGGAUAACAGUCCGAAAGGAUUGCUAAUACCGCAUGUGGUUAUUGGAUUUAGAAACUUAUAACUAAAGGAGCAAUUCGCUUUGGGAGGGACCUGCGUCCCAUCAGCUAGUUGGUGAGGUAACGGCUCACCAAGGCUACGACGGGUAGGGGACCUGAGAGGGUGGCCCCCCACAAUGGAACUGAAACACGGUCCAUACACCUACGGGUGGCAGCAGUAGGGAAUAUUGCACAAUGGGCGAAAGCCUGAUGCAGCAACGCCGCGUGUGCGAUGAAGGCCUUCGGGUCGUAAAGCACUUUUCUGAGAGAUGAGAAAGGACAGUAUCUCAGGAAUAAGUCUCGGCUAACUACGUGCCAGCAGCCGCGGUA
rnacentral:rRNA from 1 species